GCCGCCUGGGGGUUUCAGCGCCGCUCCUUUCUUCAGGGGUUCCACGGACUCCUUGUGUGAGCAGACGCGCCAGUCGAGAUCCUGUCGAGCUGCCUGUACUGGAUACUGAACCACGAGGGGUUGGCAACCUGAGUACCAGUGAAUCAGUCCUAUCUUCA